UAUAUAUAUAUAAUGCCUGCUUGAGGGAGCAUUUGAGUGUUGUUGUUUUUUUUUUUUUAUUUUUGGUGGUUUCCUUGGUGGGGCAGGAAUUCUAAACUCACAUAAAUCAGGUGGAGAGAAACACAAGAGGAACCUUUACACCCCUGGACCUGUCCUGAUCCUUCACCCUGAACACACAAGUAUACCUGACGGCAUCUAACAGGCACCAUUUGACAAACAACAGGUUCCUUCAGGACUAUGAUAGGUGCAUUGCUGAUACCACCUACGAAGCAGGAGCUACGGUCCCCACCAUUGAGUUAAAUGCAGGAGCUAUGCUGAGUCAAGCAAAAAAAACAAAAAACCUUGAGCUCCCUUGAGCACCCAAGAAGAAAUGUCUUUACAAAUUGAUUUAUGUAUUACCAACCUCGCCAGUGGCCUCUGAACCAUCCAUUAAGAUACCACACGCUGCAGCCGCUAAGCCGACAGAACAGGAGGAGAAACCUUUCAGUGGUGGGGGGGACGGCUAGGAGAAGUGGUAGAGGAAGCUUAGCUCGUCAAUUCAAAUCCAGAUCUCUCAAUCUCUGGAUGACUAAAACUAUAAAAUUAGAUCUGUUUCCAAGUGGUGCAACAGAAACCCAUUCAACCUAUUGUCAGGAGAUCACUGGUGCCGCAUCCAUGGCUGGGAAUCCAAGACAGCAAAAUUGGCCGUGCUGUCUGUGUGGGCGGGAUGGCAUACUCUAUCCCCUGUCAAUCAGAGCAACACUAACCAAUCUUGGGUGUCUGUGUGGUUUACAGGGCAGUUAGCACUGUCCUCCAAGUGUGUACAGCCACCCUGUGACAUAACAUGAGCAACAGUUCAAAAAGAUGGAGGGAGGAAGGAGGAUUAGGAAGCACUUUACCCUUUACCCUAACUGGCCGGCAGCUGAUGUGGGAAUUGGCAAAUGACCAAAUUGGAAGAAAAUGGAGUAAAACAGAUUAAAAAAAAAAAAAAAACUGAGAAUGGAACUGUAUUCAGUGAAAAGACGUAGCCAAUCUGAACUAGUUCAAGUUUUAUCACACUACAUCCAACAAAUCAAACUAGCUUCCUGUAUGAAAACACUGUCUGUGGCUCCUUCUGUUUGAGAAGCGGAGCGCAUGAAUACUGCGGAUAAGUUCAGAACUAGUUCUGCAUACAAAGAACCCUCAUAAUUGAGAGAGAGAGAGAGAGAGAGAGAGAGAGAGAGAGAGAGAGAGAGAGAGAGAAAGCAUAGUCUCAUGAAUGCAAAUUUGUAAUAACUCACACUAGUGUAAAAGUUGCAGAUUCGAGAUUAAAAUUUGAGUCAUUUCAGCGUCCCAUUUUUGUACACUUUUCUGGCCACAAGCUUCAGAAUCUUGAGAGUUGCAUUCUGAUUGGUUCUCCAUACUUCCAUGUGCUGGUUUCCAGCAUGAAAACACUGCAGCACUGCAAUAAGCUUUUCAAAGCAAGAUAUAAUGGCUGGACUGAAAACCGUUCCCGUCUUCAAAAGAAUUGUGAAGUUUGAAGCACAUUGUGAUGAUUACACAUGAUAAUCUAGUGUGUUUGCCAACAGGCUAUGGGACGAGAUCUGUGGUUGGUCAGCUGCCAUGUCAUGUUUCUGUGAAAGUAGAUGGUUCUUGGCCACAUUUAUUGACAGAGUUUACCAUACUCUCUAGCUAAAAGUCUGGCAUGUGAGAUUAAAGUAAGGGUGAGUGGAGGAACUUAGCAGUCAUAGCCUUUAUUAUGAACUUCAUUUGAUUAAGAGCAUACUCUGCUUAAUUGCCUCCUUAGUAAAGCUCUCAGUAUCUAAUAACUAAUAAACAGAAUGUCAACACUAUAAUACUGACUAUUGAGGACAGUUAAGGAAACCACAAUCUCCUUUAGCUAGAAAUUUGAACAAGACGACAUACAUACGUGGCAACAGUAGACCCCAGAAAAAAAAAUAGAAAUGGCUGGGUGCAAAGUGAACCCAGAAGUACCGGAUGAUCAAAUCAAACCUUUGCCCCGUAAGCCCUACUUGCUUUGCUGGGUUCUUCUGCCAAGGCAGAGGUCUUGGGUUGGGACUCCACACUGAUUCCACAUAUGAUGCUUAUUAAGGCCCAGUUGGAGCCCGUGGCUCUAAACCAAAUGGUGUGGGGAAUUCUGGGAACACAGGGCUGACUUAAGUGUUAAUAGAGGCCGUUCCAGCACCAUCAGCAGCAUUCCAAAGUGGGCGUAUCCAUCAGAAAGUGACAGAGCUGGAGGGUUCCUUGGAGCUGGAAUUAUAUGUUCUACCAAGACUUUUUGUAAGAAGCAGCAUACUCUGGCUUCUACAACAUCAUUAAGAAUUCUUUUGCCUUUUACUUCACUAUUUCAUUGCUGCUUAUAGGAAGAUCUUCUUUUUUUUAUGUUUCUUUUGCAAAAGUGUUUCUCCUUCAUGCAUUUUUGAGGAGUCCUUCCUGUCUGAACCUGGACUUUUGUAGCUGUGAUGUGAUACAGUUCACUGUAAAGAGCGCUGAAGGAAACAAAAAAUUGAUUUGAAUUGAGCUGAGCCAAAUUCUGUGUCAUGGUGUCAUGCCUCUGAAAUUUCCUUUCUGUCUGUGAGCUUGGCAUAUGGUUAAAUUGAACAAUGUCCUUUGAAUAUAUUGUUAAUAUACAGAUGGCUGAUGUCUUAACAAGGUGUUCAGACACAACAAGCCACUGUCCUUCCAAAAUGGUUGAUGUUUUGAUGAUGGUCAUGGAGAGCACUGGAUUACAGAUCAGUCCACAAUCUUCCACAUGUAUUCAGCUGGGUUGAGAUUUGGUAUGGGCAGAGUCAUCCUACAGGAGACCACACCCAUCAAGAGAGAAAUGGUUCACCAUAGGAUAAAGCAAACACACCUGGGUCAGGUUAUCAAGGCGUGUUAGGAGGUGGAACAGAAUGAAAAUGUGAACUGGUAAUUUAUCUGACUGCAUUAGGAUCCCAUGUCCCAUGUAUUUACAAUCCACAUGGCACCGCCUCUGCAAUCGCUUUUGUUUAAAGUUGCUGACUUAAUUUAUGGAGGGUAAACAGUGACAAAGUGGAGUUCCUGCAAGGUUCAGCUGAAAGAAAACGACAAGGGAUGACAGCAAUCUUCUGGCCUAAAUCUUCAUCUAAACCGCAGUGAUUGACCAGCGUCCCCAUGCCAACGAGCAUCGCAUUAUAGCUGUAAUCCAUUUUUGCAGAUGUAGAGUGGACAUCUGCAGCUGAUGCACUGCGAGACAGACAGAGGUACAGCGUAAUGUCUAAGGAUAUCUGGAUUUCACUGCUCACUUCACAGCGAGACUAAACAAACGUUUACUUCUGGUUUGCUUUGAAAGUGACACACAGUCUAUGCUGACAUUGUUCAGUAGUUUAGGGUCGUUUGAUAGUAAGUCCAAUUUAUCUAGACCUUAAAACCGUAGACUAUGCUUGAGCUUUUGCCCACCAUUCUCUGUAUUAUCAGGCUUCUACUUAUAAUAAAUACAACAGGCAACCAUUUACUGGUCAUGGUCUCUGCAUGGAAGGGAUAGCAGUACUCCCCCUCCUGUCAAUCUGCAUGACACUGACUAAUUUUGUACGUCUCUGAGCUCAUGUAUGUAUGUAAGUAUGUGUAAGAGGGAAGAUUGCACUUUCUUUCAGCUGUGUGCAGUUGCUCUGUGAUGUUCAAAAAGAUAUGGGUGCUGACUUCUUGUAGAUACUGUGGAAGAACAUUGGUUGCUGUGGUGUGAUUGGCAAGAGAUGGCUAGAGGGUGGCAAAUGUCAAAUGGCCAAAUUAGGAGAAAAUGUGGUUUAAAAAAGCAAUCAUGCAUGCCAAUCAGGGCUUAUUUUCAUGGCGUCAUAAUAGAUCAAGUAAUGUCAUUUGCUAUGUAAAUGGAAGCAGAAUUUUUGAUCAUGGGACAUUCUAUGGUUUAAUAUUCUGUCGGAGAAUAUAUCAUUCAUCCAACUUAGUUGUUUAAGCCAUUACUGUCGUAACCAUUUGUGAUUCAGCAAAACAAAAUGUCUUUUCCAAACCAAAACUUAGAAGACUGAGUGCAAAAACAAAACAAAACAAAACAAAAAAAGCCUGCAAAUUGUACUUUUUCAGUUCUAGCAGCUAGGCCAGGGGUGUGGACCCAAGGAUUUGCAUUUUCCCUCCUCUGACACACUGAAUUAAACUCAUUAAGAGCAAGAGCUGUGUCUCAAAUCAUAUAAAACAGAACUACAAACUGAGCAAUAAAAACAUAUAUAAUAUUAUACAUUGUAGAUUAUAGAUUCAGAGCAUUAGACAGUUUUUUUUUUAAUUCUUGCUCAUUACCUUAUCUUGUGUUCUUAAAUUGUUGGAAGAAAUGAAUGUUUCUUAAGUUUCUUUCUUUACUUUUGCACUUUAUCUACAAACAGCUUGUAAUGGAAGUCUUAUUCAUUCAUUCAUCAUCAGAAAGCUCUUUAUCCUGAUAAGGUUAUCAUGAUAAGGAUCCAGAGUCUAUCCUGGGAAUGGGAAUCUGGAUGGGACGCCAGAUCAUCACACAUUCGCACACUCAGGAGCAAUCCACCUUGUUUUCUGGGAGUUGGAGAAAACCGGAGAACCCAGAGGAAAACCACAUGAACAAGGGAAGGAAGAACAUGUUAAAUAUUUGGUCAGUAACUUAAGCUAAGCAUCAAACCAGGGACACUGAAGCUGUGAGGCAACAACGCUACCUUCUGCUGCCCCUGGAAGUCUUAUAUCUCUCAAAAUCUUGUCCACUAAUACACACCCAUAUCUGUACUUAUAUAUUUAACUGCAACUAUAUUAUCAUCUGUAUCACUUCCAGCUUUACAAUGCAGUUCCACCUUUAAAUGUUUGAAGGUUGAGUUUAGUAGGUCCGAUAAUACUAAACUACACUAAGUAAAAAAGUGAUUUGAUUUGGUUGUCCAAGAUGACUGCCAUAAAAUACAAUUGCGGCAUUGAGCUACAGUACACGGUGAAGUCUUGCUCAUGUUUAUACUACUAAAAAACACUCUGUCCUAAACUAUACUGGUAAGUUUGCAUCACUUUCCUCAAAAAUGGGCAUGUGUAUGUAAAAGACUACAUUUGAGGUAAAUUGAAAAUGGUGUAAAUUUGAUCCCCAAUACACGGUUCUAUUAACCCUAUGUUUACACUAGCAAGCAACAAGUCGCUCAUGUCGCAUGUAGUUUGUCUCUUGUGGGCAUGUAGCAACCACUACUGGUGUUGCUUAUGUUUGGUUGUGUUUGUUGUUGUUGUUGUUGCUGUUCCACUGAGGAAACAUAGACACCAAAAUCUAUAGCUUGAUUAAAAAACAUUUGUUUAAAAUGUAUUUAAGUUUGAUUUACAUGUUACAUGCUAGACUUCGUAUAUCGCAGAUAAGCUGUACUAGCUACACACACUCGCCAGAAGCCCCAACGAUCUUUCCUUCGUCCUUCCAAGCUUUAUUUUUCUUUGUAAUGUCUCUAUACACGUUUAACGAUAGGUUGACAGGUAUAUGACAGGAUAAGAAGAAACCACGGUAGUAAGUUUUUCUGAAACGUUUUCCAUACAUCAAAAUUGAAACAAGGAAUAAAGUUCUGAGCGGGGAAAUCAGGAAACAUGUGGCACAGGACUGGUCGCUUUUUGUUUGUUGCUUGCUAGCGUCAACAUAGGCUUAGUCAGCUAGCCGACGUCAAGUGAAUACUGUCACUGCUAUUUGCGGGGGUUUUUUACCGUAAUACAAAAAAAAAAAUUCUGCUUAAUUAUCAUGUACAGACCGCCACAAAAACAUGUUCUAUGUCUAUACUAGUCCGUUAUACAGACUUUUACGUGUUAGGCUAUAUCGUGGUAUAAAAUUACUUUGCGGUAAAUCAAGAACAUAACUCCGCAGUACCCUCACCCUCCGUGACUGGAAUCUGACACUUCUGACCCAGACCUAUAAGAUCAAAGAGCAUUGCGUCUCGCCACUUUUCUCCACAAACAGGACGUAUAGGCUAUUGAACACACCAUGCACCGAGGCUAAGAGAUGCAAAGCAUCUGAGACAUGAACACACUGAGCUGAACCUUAGCUGUAAUAUAAAUAGUCCUAUUCUGUGGUUAAUUUUUUUUUUUUUUUUUAGUACUGUAAUGACUCACACUGCAAGUCUCACAGGCGAGAAGAAACGAUAAUCUAGCAAAUGGAAGUCAAUCUGAUCUGAAUAAUUUAUAACUUUUUAACACAGAUGAGUGACACUGUAAUCUAUAUAUACCUGACAUAUGACACAUAUGAUGUGCAACCAUGUAUUGUUUUGG
ensembl:lncRNA